UUAGCAUUUGGUAGGUGUGGUUUCGCACAGCACUGAGAUCAUCUGCACCUCCAGCAGCUGCCCGUGGGCCUUGCCGCUCCAGGAUUCGAACCACCUGACACAAAGGACAGAAAAGAGGAAAAAUCUAAGAUGAUAAGCCAGAAUGAGAACUCUAUGCACCUCUAUGCAAGUUCUAUGCAACUUCAACAACUUAUUUCUAUUGUUACCUUAUGAAACUGUAUUCUCAACAAGAAUUUAUUGAAUGAAUAAAUGAAUAAGAAUGCCUGAUACAUGAAA